rnacentral:rRNA from 1 species
GCUAUCGGCCAUACUAAGCCAAAUGCACCGGAUCCCUUCCGAACUCCGAAGUUAAGCGGUUUAAGGCCUGUUAAGUACUGAGGUGGGGGACCACUCGGGAACUUCAGGUACUGAUAGCUUUUU